UUGGAGGGCAAGUCUGGUGCCAGCAGCCGCGGUAAUUCCAGCUCCAAUAGCGUAUAUUAAAGUUGUUGCAGUUAAAAAGCUCGUAGUUGAAUUUCGAGAUCAAUUUGUCGGUCGUGCUUCGGUACGUACUGGCAUUAUUGAUUUCUCCCUUCUGAAGAACCGCGAUGUCAUUAAUUUGGUGUCGUGGGGAAUCAGGACUGUUACUUUGAAAAAAUUAGAGUGUUUAAAGCAGGCGCACGCUUGAAUACAUUAGCAUGGAAUAAUGAAAUAGGACGUUUGAUUCUAUUUUGUUGGUUUCUAGGAUCGACGUAAUGAUUAAUAGGGAUAGUUGGGGGCAUUAGUAUUCAAUUGUCAGAGGUGAAAUUCUUGGAUUUAUUGAAGACUAACUACUGCGAAAGCAUUUGCCAAGGAUGUUUUCAUUAAUCAAGAACGAAAGUUAGGGGAUCGAAGACGAUCAGAUACCGUCGUAGUCUUAACCAUAAACUAUGCCGACUAGGGAUCGGAUGAUGUUAAUUUUUUAAUGACUCAUUCGGCGCCUUACGGGAAACCAAAGUGUUUGGGUUC
rnacentral:rRNA from 1 species